AUACGGAGGGGGCUAGCGUUGUUCGGAAUUACUGGGCGUAAAGCGUACGUAGGCGGACUGAUCAGUUGGGGGUGAAAUCCCAGGGCUUAACCCCGGAACUGCCUUCAAUACUGUCAGUCUUGAGUUUGGGAGAGGUGAGUGGAAUUCCUAGUGUAGGGGUGAAAUUCAUAGAUAUUAGGAGGAACACCAGUGGCGAAGGCGGCUCACUGGCCCAUUACUGACGCUGAGGUACGAAAGCGUGGGGAGCAAACAGGAGUAGAAACCCCAGUAGUAC
rnacentral:rRNA from 1 species